CUGAGCCCUCUUUGCGCAUCAUCGCCUCCCAGGCUCUGUUCCGCAUCCAGAGGGUGGGGAAUAUACCAGAAACAGAGAUAAGCGUUUCCUGGAUGAGGAAGCUCUUGGGCUGUCUUCAUACUUAGAAUGCAAGCCACAUGACAGCAGAUGGAGAAGCUAAGGAAACAAACAUGAAAGUGAUUUGCUCUGGGUCACACAACUAGUAAAUGGUAAAGCCAGAGCUGCCCAAGCACACUGGCUCCUACACCCACACCCUUGGCUAGUGUGUUGUAUUCUUCUCCAGUCUGCUUGCUCUUGCAAAUGGGAAUAAACACAGAUCUGCUCUAC
rnacentral:lncRNA from 1 species